AAACUAACAAGGAUUCCCCUAGUAACGGCGAGUGAAGAGGGAAGAGCCCAAGAUUGAAAGCUGGCGUCUUCGGCGUCCGCAUUGUAAUCUCAAGAAGUGUUUUCCGCUUCGGACCAUGCCUAAGUCCCUUGGAAAAGGGCAUCAUAGAGGGUGAUAAUCCCGUACAUGGCAUGGAGCGCCCGAAGCUUUGUGAUACGCUUUCUAAGAGUCGAGUUGUUUGGGAAUGCAGCUCAAAAUGGGUGGUAAAUGCCAUCUAAGGCUAAAUAUUGGGGAGAGACCGAUAGCGAACAAGUACAGUGAUGGAAAGAUGAAAAGAACUUUGAAAAGAGAGUUAAACAGUACGUGAAAUUGCCAAAAGGGAAGGGUAGGAGGUCAGAGAUGCGGCCUGGGAUUCAGCCUUGCUUUUGCUUGGUGUUUUUCCCAGAUUGCAGGCCAACGUCGGUUUUGGGCACUGGAGAAGGGUAGGAGGAACGUGGCACCUCUCGGGGUGUGUUAUAGCCUCCUACUGGAUACAGCGACCGAGACCGAGGACAGCAGCGUACUCGCAAGAGCGGGCCUUCGGGCACCUUUACGCUUAGGGCGUUGGCAUAAUGGCCCUCUACCACCCGUCUUGAAACAC
rnacentral:rRNA from 1 species